rnacentral:rRNA from 1 species
GACAGAGGGGGCAAGCGUUGUUCGGAAUUACUGGGCGUAAAGGGCGCGUAGGCGGCCUGUUAAGUCGAACGUGAAAUCCCCGGGCUCAACCCGGGAACUGCGUCCGAAACUGGCAGGCUCGAAUUCGGGAGAGGGAUGCGGAAUUCCAGGUGUAGCGGUGAAAUGCGUAGAUAUCAGGAGGAACACCGGUGGCGAAGGCGGGUCUCUGGGCCGUAACUGGACGCUGAGGAGCGAAAGCAUGGGGAGCGAACAGG